rnacentral:rRNA from 1 species
GGCGGACGGGUGAGUAAUGUCUGGGAAACUGCCUGAUGGAGGGGGAUAACUACUGGAAACGGUAGCUAAUACCGCAUAACGUCGCAAGACCAAAGAGGGGGACCUUCGGGCCUCUUGCCAUCGGAUGUGCCCAGAUGGGAUUAGCUAGUAGGUGGGGUAAAGGCUCACCUAGGCGACGAUCCCUAGCUGGUCUGAGAGGAUGACCAGCCACACUGGAACUGAGACACGGUCCAGACUCCUACGGGAGGCAGCAUG